AGAGUAAGUCAGCCUAAUCCAACAAUUCACAGUAAGUAAUGUUGGAGCGGAGGAACCAAGUUUUGGGGCGUAUCUUUUAGAGAGUAGGCAGUUCAGAGUUACAAGAGCAAGGUGAUGAAACACCUAACUCAGCACUCAAAACUCAGCACUCUCACUAAGAAGGGCAACUCUCAGCCCUAGCCCGUCAGCUAACUUCGUAGGCAUUGAGAGGAGACUGA
rnacentral:sRNA from 2 species